rnacentral:rRNA from 1 species
AUUGAACGCUGGCGGCAUGCCUUACACAUGCAAGUCGAACGGUAACAGGUCUUCGGAUGCUGACGAGUGGCGAACGGGUGAGUAAUACAUCGGAACGUGCCUAGUAGUGGGGGAUAACUACUCGAAAGAGUGGCUAAUACCGCAUGAGAUCUACGGAUGAAAGCAGGGGAUCGCAAGACCUUGUGCUACUAGAGCGGCCGAUGGCAGAUUAGGUAGUUGGUGGGAUAAAAGCUUACCAAGCCGACGAUCUGUAGCUGGUCUGAGAGGACGAUCAGCCACACUGGGACUGAGACACGGCCCAGACUCCUACGGGAGGCAGCAGUGGGGAAUUUUGGACAAUGGGCGAAGGCCUGAUCCAGCAAUGCCGCGUGCAGGAUGAAGGCCUUCGGGUUGCAAACUGCUUUUGUACGGAACGGAAAGCCCCGGGUUAAUACCCUGGGGUCAUGACGGUACCGUAAGAAUAAGCACCGGCUAACUACGUGCCAGCAGCCGCCGUAA